GUGAACGCUGGCGGUAGGCCUCACACCUGCAAGUCGAACGGCAGCACCGUAAGAGCUUGCUCUUACGGGUGGCGAGUGGCGGACGGGUGAGGAAUACAUCGGAAUCUACUUUUUCGUGGGGGAUAACGUAGGGAAACUUACGCUAAUACCGCAUACGACCUACGGGUGAAAGCAGGGGAUCUUCGGACCUUGCGCGAUUGAAUGAGCCGAUGUCGGAUUAGCUAGUUGGCGGGGUAAAGGCCCACCAAGGCGACGAUCCGUAGCUGGUCUGAGAGGAUGAUCAGCCACACUGGAACUGAGACACGGUCCAGACUCCUACGGGAGGCAGCAGUGGGGAAUAUUGGACAAUGGGCGCAAGCCUGGUCCAGCCAUACCGCGUGGGUGAAGAAGGCCUUCGGGUUGUAAAGCCCUUUUGUUGGGAAAGAAAAGCAGCAGGUUAAUACCCCGCUGUUCUGACGGUACCCAAAGAAUAAGCACCGGCUAACUUCGUG
rnacentral:rRNA from 1 species